AUUAAAAGCACUAAUUGGACUCACACUGAAUUUCUUAAUACAAAUUUAAACAAAUUGUUCUGAAGAACAUUAUAUAGGUUUCAACGUCUAUUCACUUGUUUCAAUAAAAUACAUUGUUUUUUGUGUAUACCUAUUGGUUUGGUUGAAGAUAUAUAAUUGAAAAAGAACAGGCAUAAGAAAGUGUGUCAGUAUGAAUUAAAAUGCAUUGAGUGACAGAAAAAUACUGAGCUUAGCUGGGAACCUGAAAACCAUUGACAGUACACCCUCAUGCCCUCCUGUAACUCAAAAUUUUAAAGAUGAAAAUGCUUUAAGACAUCUAAUGCAUGAAAAAUGAAAUUACUUCAAAGAAAGAAGAGGCAGUGGGGGUGGGGAGAAUCAUUGGAAAUUGUCCUGGGAAAGCAUAGUGCCGAUUGUGGUAUGUAUAGUUAUUAUAAUUAAGGGAAGUGGGAAAAAAAAGUCAACUCUGCUCAAUGUAAUGAAUAGAAAAUCUGUAUCUGAAAAGCUAUUCACUGACUUCUCUGCAUUUUUUUUUAAAUAAGUGGGACAAAUUUCUAUAAUUUUCCAAAAUUGUUUCCCCUCCCAACAUUCUAUCAUCCUACUUCUAAAAGUAGCCAAGAUUUGCUGCAUAUGAUUUUCUCUGCAGUAAAAAAUAAUGAGGCAUAACAAUGUAUCCCCCAAGGGUGGUUACCUCCAGGGUUUCUAAAGACAUGAAGUAAGCAAGACAACUGUUCCUAACUUGACGCAUGGUUCAAAACAGAUAGCAACACUCCAUAUAUGUUCAGCAGCAGGAAUAGAAUAAUAGACCCCGUCUAACUUCUCUAGUUGCUAGUGGUGUGUGGGUGCAGAAUUCUUCCAUGUUGAAGUCAUCAUCUGCAAAAGCAGACAGCAAGAGAAACUAUGCUACUAGCAAAAUACUGUGCAUCUGGGAUUUACAAAAUGUAUGUAUCCAUUAAGUAUCUUCUGAUUGUGGGGUGCAUACUUGGUAAUAAGUUCACAGCCAAAAUUUCAAAUCAUAUCUCAAUUAUAAGUAAAAAGGCAGCAGCCUAUAUCACUCAGGUGCUUUAAUAGUACUGAUAGCCCAUGGCACAUCUAGUAGCCACUGCUGUGGACAUCACAACAUGGCAAUCUUUCUCCAAAAUUCCUUCUACAGUGUUAUACCAUGCUAACAAUCCAGGGAGAAAGUGGAGUAUUUUAUGUCAGUGGCCUAUUAAUAGAAUAUUGUCUGUGAAAUUGCUUCCCUGCCCUACCUAUUGCUACCCUGUCCCAAGCCUAUUGUUUAGAACAGUAUAUUAAUGAGAGAAACUUUACGGACAAUCGUUAUUAUUUUUUGCUAACAAAAACUCAGUGAUACCAUGCAGGUUAAUUCCUUCCUGAUCAUCUACUAAUAUGGCAGAGAGGAAUCAACAACAAUUGUACCAAUGGCAAUUAAUUGCACUUUAAUUAUUAAAAUGAGCUGCUUGAUUUGGUGCACAACAUAUACCUUAACAGGAUUUACAUUUCCACUUUGCUGAAGUUUGAUAUCAGCUCACAAGCAGAGGGAGUCAACAAGCUAGUUAAUGAGGUGUUGGCAUCUGAAGCCAUUUCCCAUGAUGAAGGAACUCUGCUCACAUACAGAGAGAGUUUGUGAACAAUGUCAGGAGAGAACUAUUGGAUGGAGAUUUGUUUGACUCUGGAGAAGCUAUUCCAAACAAGGCAUAUCCCCUAAAGAUCCGUAAAGGUGACAAAGUGGUGUUUGAACAACACAGAUAAGUUCCCAAGAAAGAGCACAGGAACAGCAUCCAACUUGGCCACCACUAGAAAGGAAGGAAACUAUUCUGAGCGCUGCAUCUCACAAAGGAACCAUUCUGAAAAAUGUAGAAAAACCUCUGCUAGUGAAACCAUCUGGGAGAUGUUUCUUCCACAGUGAAGAAGAUCAAGUCAUGACCCCUACACUGAAGCUGGAAAUAUCAUUAGAAGUUAAUCUGCCAGUCCCGUUUAUGGAGCUUGAUUCAUCUCAGGAACCCUUGGUGCAUGUGGCAGCUGUUGAGUUCAUCUCAAUGGCAAUGCUGAUCAAAGAGCCUUUUGACUCAAGAAAGAACAGUUAGUUAGGUAUAUGUGCCAGGUGUAACUGUGCACUCUUUGAACUUGCAGACUGAUAUAGGCUCCAUGUCAUGUAAUGGCAGCUGUAAAUGAACCCAGCUUGCUGAAGUGAUGGCAGAAGGUUUGCUGAGCAGCAUAUCUAUCAUGGCAGCACCUAGUAAAAAUUUAGAGUUCUCCAUCCGAGGCCUUUUCAAGGCAAUUAUACCAAUAGGUCAAGGUGAUACUAGAGGUGUAAACAAAUGUUAUGUCAGCUUCCAAUGAUCUCACAGAGAUAUUUGCCCUAACAAUUGAAGUGCGCUAUCACUGAGGAUGUUGCUGAUGUACCAGUAUCGCCAUUGCCUAUAGACAGGAGCACAAUCCAGUGGAUGCUGAUUAAUCUGCAAGGUAUGGAUUAGUGACUACUAGCCCCAGUGGUGCAAACACUGGAGACUACAACCUGACAAAUAUUUCAUGGAAUCCCCUCAGUGUAGUUUGCAAGCAGCACCUCUGAUACCAAAGAAAUUCUUAACCACCAUUUUGUGUCUCUGGCUUCUCUCUUGAAUAAGCAGGAGUCACUUCACCAACUGAAAGCUGCAGGUCAUUUGCCAAUGGAUGAUAUAGGUCACAUGAUCAGAGCGGAGAAAUCUCUGGGCUGAACAUGCCCAACAGUGAAAAUAACAUAAAAUAAGGUAUGGCCAUGAAAGGGUCCAAAUCUGGAGUAUGAGCUGUAGGGACAGACAAAGGAAUCAUGGCUCUGAGGUCAACAACGGCAAUGAGCAUGUACAUGGAUACCAGUAGGUAGCUACUGAGCAUAUGCAGUAUGGGGUGAGAGAAAGAUCAGCUAGCUGACUUGCUGGCUGGCCACAGCUCAUCCAUACUGGUUACAACUUGUUCUAAAGGUCAGAGUGGUCAGUCAUAAUUCUGAGGUAAUGGCUGUUACUGAGCAUGUGUGAAUGAGGUAAUUGCUUAAGGGUAUAUAAGGAAGUCCCAAUAGGACAGUAUAAAGGUCAGCUGCCAACAGGCAGAAGUCAGUCAAGAGCCAGAAAAAGAGCUGCUGGAAGAACUGCUGGGGAGAGAUCGGAAGGCUGGCUAAGAGGACAGAAGAGCUCCGAAGAGUUCUCAGAAAGACUCCGAAGAAAGUGCUGCUGAAGAAAGCAGCUACAGCAGCUUCAGACAAAGUAAUAUCCACAGCAGCCACAACAGUUGCAACAAUUGAAACAAAAGGAUAGAGCAAGAGAAACUGCCAGAAGUGAGCUGCCACAGUAACAGCAAACAGAGAAAGGGAGCAGACUGGGAACGAAAAGCUACCGUAGCAGCAGCAAACCGCAACAUUUGUAAAAAGUCCCUGAAUCAAUGGAUAGCAUGAGCGUGUCAGUUUUUAAACUAUACGUUUACUGUCUACUAUUGUAUAGUACAAUAGAUAUGUGUAUGUCUGAAAUGUGUGUAUUUUAAUUGUAUUUUACCUAUGAAGAAUUUAAAGUACAAGUUAAGAAUUGCUGUCGGUGCUUUACAGGUUGGCCACCUGUAGCAAAGCGCAUUGCUUAGAAUAAUUUAAACUGAACACUAUUGUGGUUUGGAUCUCUUUAACUUGCAGUAAGGGAUUGUGUCUGAUUUUUACUUUUUAUUUUUAUUAUACUAGGGAUUAUUAGUUACAUUAAUAAAAUUAUUUUGUUUUGGAAAAAACAUACUGUCUGUGUCAAUCAUUUUAUCAGGUCAUAUCUGUGUCCUUUAGUGUUUCCUUAACAACCUCACAAACUGAAACCUCAAAAAGGAUAACUUAAGGGAGCAAUAGGCAGGUCAUUCUAGGAAUCAGUUUUUGGGGUAACACCUCCACAUGUUAUGUAAAGAGCAACCAGGAAAAUAUUUUGCUAGCAUAUUGAAGGCACUUCUGCCCACCACCAUCUCCCACUCCCUUAGUUUGUGGAGGACCUUGGUAGAAUGACGAAUCACAAGGAGUAAAAUAAAAUAAAAAAAGAAUACCCUACCGGGAUCCUGGUCCAUGAUUAGGGCUCCUAGGAGCUAUGGUAAUACAAACAACAACAUCCACCUGUGGGUUAUUAUCGUGGAUGACAUUGCCAAAUGUUUUAGAUCAUUAAUGAGAACUCAUGGCAAAUGGAUAAAGACAAACAAUUUCUUUCCACCCUACCGAAUGUACUGUCAGUUUAAGAUGCUAAAUGGGAAGUAUAAUUAAGUCAUGC